rnacentral:rRNA from 1 species
UACGGAGGGUGCGAGCGUUGUCCGGAAUCACUGGGCGUAAAGGGCGCGUAGGCGGUUCGUUAAGUUGCUGGUGAAAUCCCGGGGCUCAACUCCGGGGCUGCCAGUAAGACUGGCGAGCUAGAGCACGGUAGAGGCGGAUGGAAUUCCCGGUGUAGCGGUGGAAUGCGUAGAUAUCGGGAAGAAUACCGGUGGCGAAAGGCGUUCCGCUGGGCCGUUGCUGACGCUGAGGCGCGACAGCGUGGGGAGCAAACAGG